UGCCAGCAGCCACGGUAAUACGGAGGGGGCGAACGUUGCUCGGAUUUACUGGGCGUAAAGCGACCGCAGGCGGUUAGUUUAGUCAGAUGUGAAAUCCCGGUGCUCAACGCCGGAACUGCAUUCGAAACUGGCUAACUAGAGUCAUCAAGAGGAGAUCGGAAUUACCAGUGUAGAGGUGAAAUUCGUAGAUAUUGGUAGGAACACCAGUGGCGAAGGCGGAUCUCUGGGGAUGUACUGACGCUCAGGGUCGAAAGCAUGGGGAGCAAACAGGAUUAGAUA
rnacentral:rRNA from 1 species